GGACGACAGCCAUGCACCACCUGCGCUGGAUCCCGAAGGACACCGUAUCUCGACGGCUUUUCCGGCAUAGUUCAACCCAGGUAAGGUUCUUCGCGUUGCAUCGAAUUAAGCCACAUGCUCCGCCGCUUGUGCGGGCCCCCGUCAAUUCCUUUGAGUUUUAGCCUUGCGGCCGUACUCCCCAGGCGGGGCACUUAAUGCGUUAGCUACGGCACGGAACCCGUUGAUAGAGUCCCACACCUAGUGCCCAACGUUUACGGCGUGGACUAC
rnacentral:misc_RNA from 1 species